UACGUAGGGGCAAGCGUUGUCCGGAUUUAUUGGGCGUAAAGAGCGUGUAGGCGGCCAGACAGGUCCGUUGUGAAAACUCGAGGCUCAACCUCGAGACGUCGACGGAAACCGUCUGGCUAGAGUCCGGAAGAGGAGUGUGGAAUUCCUGGUGUAGCGGUGAAAUGCGCAGAUAUCAGGAAGAACACCUAUGGCGAAGGCAGCUCGCUGGGACGUUACUGACGCUGAGACGCGAAAGCGUGGGGAGCAAACAGG
rnacentral:rRNA from 1 species